GAAGGCACGCUGACACGUAGGUGAAGUGAUUUACUCAUGGAGCUGAAGUCAGUCGAAGAUACCAGCUGGCUGCAACUGUUUAUUAAAAACACAGCACUGUGCAAACACGAAAGUGGACGUAUACGGUGUGACGCCUGCCCGGUGCCGGAAGGUUAAUUGAUGGGGUCAGCGCAAGCGAAGCUCCUGAUCGAAGCCCCGGUAAACGGCGGCCGUAACUAUAACGGUCCUAAGGUAGCGAAAUUCCUUGUCGGGUAAGUUCCGACCUGCACGAAUGGCGUAAUGAUGGCCAGGCUGUCUCCACCCGAGACUCAGUGAAAUUGAACUCGCUGUGAAGAUGCAGUGUACCCGCGGCAAGACGGAAAGACCCCGUGAACCUUUACUAUAGCUUGACACUGAACAUUGAGCCUUGAUGUGUAGGAUAGGUGGGAGGCUUUGAAGCGUGGACGCCAGUCUGCGUGGAGCCGACCUUGAAAUACCACCCUUUAAUGUUUGAUGUUCUAACGUGGACCCGUAAUCCGGGUUGCGGACAGUGUCUGGUGGGUAGUUUGACUGGGGCGGUCUCCUCCUAAAGAGUAACGGAGGAGCACGAAGGUUGGCUAAUCCUGGUCGGACAUCAGGAGGUUAGUGCAAUGGCAUAAGCCAGCUUGACUGCGAGCGUGACGGCGCGAGCAGGUGCGAAAGCAGGUCAUAGUGAUCCGGUGGUUCUGAAUGGAAGGGCCAUCGCUCAACGGAUAAAAGGUACUCCGGGGAUAACAGGCUGAUACCGCCCAAGAGUUCAUAUCGACGGCGGUGUUUGGCACCUCGAUGUCGGCUCAUCACAUCCUGGGGCUGAAGUAGGUCCCAAGGGUAUGGCUGUUCGCCAUUUAAAGUGGUACGCGAGCUGGGUUUAGAACGUCGUGAGACAGUUCGGUCCCUAUCUGCCGUGGGCGCUGGAGAACUGAGGGGGGCUGCUCCUAGUACGAGAGGACCGGAGUGGACGCAUCACUGGUGUUCGGGUUGUCAUGCCAAUGGCACUGCCCGGUAGCUAAAUGCGGAAGAGAUAAGUGCUGAAAGCAUCUAAGCACGAAACUUGCCCCGAGAUGAGUUCUCCCUGAGACUUAGAGUCUCCUGAAGGAACGUUGAAGACGACGACGUUGAUAGGCCGGGUGUGUAAGCGCAGCGAUGCGUUGAGCUAACCGGUACUAAUGAACCGUGAGGCUUAACCUUACA
rnacentral:rRNA from 1 species